GACGAACGCUGGCGGCGUGCUUAACACAUGCAAGUCGAGCGGUAAGGCCCUUUCGGGGGUACACGAGCGGCGAACGGGUGAGUAACACGUGGGUGACCUGCCCUCAGCUCUGGGAUAAGCCUGGGAAACUGGGUCUAAUACCGGAUAUGACUCCAUGACGCAUGUUGUGGGGUGGAAAGCCUUGUGCGGCUGAGGAUGGGCCCGCGGCCUAUCAGCUUGUUGGUGGGGUGANGGCCUACCAAGGCGACGACGGGUAGCCGGCCUGAGAGGGCGACCGGCCACACUGGGACUGAGACACGGCCCCGACUCCUACGGGAGGCAGCAGUGGGGAAUCUUGCGCAAUGGGCGAAAGCCUGACGCAGCGACGCCGCGUGAGGGAUGACGGCCUGG
rnacentral:rRNA from 1 species